rnacentral:sRNA from 1 species
GUACCUGACAGCGCUGUGGCCUCUUCCUCGGAGAGAAGGGCCGCGAAGCCAUUCAGGCUGUGCUUGUAGCUGUACAACAGCGACGCCCGUGCCUCCUCCUCACUGUUCGAUGGACAGAGAGCGUGUUGCAUGAUUAGUUUAGUUACUGACUUUUAAUCGAAGCAAGUAUAAUCCGUCAAUCUCACAUCAGACAGCUGAUGGAGCUACAGGAGAAGCGCAUAAUUAGAUGUCAAUGAUGGUUUUUGUAUAAUUGAUUUAUUGCAUUAUUGUUUACCUGCCCUUGACGGAGAGCAGGAGGCCAUGGUGACCGGCGAGGAUUUCUUCCUCUACCUUCGCUCCGGCAUGCUCGCCCAGGUACACCACGUACACCUAUUGGCAAUGGCGAGAUGAAAGAGGAGUUCGUCUAUUCAGUUCAUGGAAAGUAGGAGGCCGGAGACUGGAGACUACGGCGCCAUCAUAGCCGGACCGGAGAAAUGAACUGACGAUCGAUUACCUGGCGUGGCUUGGUGAAGGCAGCUGAGGCUGUGGAGAAGGAAGAGAGAACAAGGAGGAACAGAAGGCUCGACGUGGCCAUUGACCCUCCCAUCGUCUUCUUCUGAAGAUGCCCGUAUCCUGCUCUGUAAUUUGGCUGAUAGGCCGCUUG